AUGCGGUGGGAAGAAGUGGCAUUUAGAAGUGUUGCUGACUUUACAUUUAGGUUUCGGCAUAACAAAGCUUGCACUGUCUUUUCGCACUUAGGCGCACGGCGUGCCGUUGGUAAUGAUUCUACUACGGUGCUGCAAAUUCGCAAGCUGAUCCUAAGUAAUCAUUGUUGUUCAUUGGAUUCCUCCGAAAUUACUUCGUUAGGAUUGAAGAAUUGCUGCAAUUCUUCCUGA
rnacentral:rRNA from 1 species